AGUGAACGCUGGCGGUAGGCCUAACACAUGCAAGUCGAACGGCAGCACAGUAAGAGCUUGCUCUUACGGGUGGCGAGUGGCGGACGGGUGAGGAAUACAUCGGAAUCUACUUUUUCGUGGGGGACAACGGAGGGAAACUUACGCUAAUACCGCAUACGACCUACGGGUGAAAGCAGGGGAUCUUCGGACCUUUCGCGAUUGAAUGAGACGAUGUCGGAUUAGCUAGUUGGCGGGGUAAAGGCCCACCAAGGCGACGAUCCGUAGCUGGCCUGAGAGGAUGAUCAGCCACACUGGAACUGAGACACGGUCCAGACUCCUACGGGAGGCAGCAGUGGGGAAUAUUGGACAAUGGGCGCAAGCCUGACCCAGCCAUACCGCGUGGGUGAAGAAGGCCUUCGGGUUGUAAAGCCCUUUUGUUGGGAAAGAAAAGCAGCAGGUUAAUACCCCGCUGUUCUGACGGUACCCAAAGAAUAAGCACCGGCUAACUUCGUG
rnacentral:rRNA from 1 species